rnacentral:rRNA from 1 species
UACGUAGGGAGCAAGCGUUGUCCGGAAUCAUUGGGCGUAAAGCGCGCGUAGGUGGCCUCAUAAGUCCGUUGUGAAAGUCAAAGGCUCAACCUUUGAAAGCCGAUGGAUACUGUGAGACUAGAGUACGGAAGAGGCGAGUGGAAUUCCUGGUGUAGCGGUGGAAUGCGCAGAGUAUCAGGAGGAACACCAAUAGCGAAGGCAGCUCGCUGGGACGUUACUGACACUGAGGCGCGAAAGCGUGGGGAGCGAACAGG